rnacentral:rRNA from 1 species
CCUACGGGAUGCACCAGUGGGGAAUAUUGCACAAUGGGCGCAAGCCUGAUGCAGCCAUGCCGCGUGUGUGAAGAAGGCCUUCGGGUUGUAAAGCACUUUCAGCGGGGAGGAAGGCGGUGAGGUUAAUAACCUCAUCGAUUGACGUUACCCGCAGAAGAAGGACCGGCUAACUCCGUGCCAGCAGCCGCGGCAAUACGGAGGGUGCAAGCGUUAAUCGGAAUUACUGGGCGUAAAGCGCACGCAUGCGGUCUGUCAAGUCGGAUGUGAAAUCCCCGGGCUCAACCUGGGAACUGCAUUCGAAACUGGCAGGCUAGAGUCUUGUAGAGGGGGGUAGAAUUCCAGGUGUAGCGGUGAAAUGCGUAGAGAUCUGGAGGAAUACCGAUGGCAAAGGCGGCCCCCUGGACAAAGACUGACGCUCAGGUGCGAAAGCGUGGGGAGCAAACAGGAUUAGAUACCCCAGUAGUC